GAUGAACGCUGGCGGCGUGCCUAACACAUGCAAGUCGAACGGAGAUUACGGACGGAAGUUUUCGGAUGGAAGCCUGUAAUUCUUAGUGGCGGACGGGUGAGUAACGCGUGGGCAACCUGCCCUAUACAGGGGGAUAGCAGCUGGAAACGGCUGGUAAGACCGCAUAAGUCGGUUAAAUCGCAUGAUUUGAUCGGGAAAUGAGCAAUCAGGUAUAGGAUGGGCCCGCGUCCGAUUAGCCAGUUGGCAGGGUAAAAGCCUACCAAAGCGACGAUCGGUAGCCGGACUGAGAGGUCGGACGGCCACAUUGGGACUGAGACACGGCCCAAACUCCUACGGGAGGCAGCAGUGGGGGAUAUUGCACAAUGGAGGAAACUCUGAAGCAGCGACGCCGCGUGAGUGAAGAAGUAUUUCGGUAUGUAAAGCUCUAUCAGCAGGGAAGAUGAUGACGGUACCUGACUAAGAAGCCCCGGCUAACUACGUG
rnacentral:rRNA from 1 species